rnacentral:lncRNA from 10 species
AAUCAGUCGCUUCUCACUCAAAUCAGUCUCACUCAGUCAGUUGAGCCAUUUCUUCCAUGUAGUUGGCCUUGCAUUAAUUAAACUCUUUAUUGCAGUGCCGUGAUCUCUGUAAGUUGAUUUUGUCUAUGCAGCAGUCAGGAAGAGCCCAUCAGGCAAUUACACAUUUAGGGGCUUGUCCAAGAUCUGCCCUUCUGGGUGCCUGUCUGCUAUCUCUCAGCCUUCCACUGGUACAAUGGAACUGGGAGUGAGCUCGGGCGUUUCUUAUUUGUCUCGAACUGAGGGCCAUCUCUGAUACGGUCUCUGCCAAUGAGACGCGGUCAACCCAUAGUGCUUGGGCCUAAUUGCAGUGAAGAAACAGUUACUGGAAGAUGUCUUUAAACUAGGCUGGGUGUGAUAGGUAUACAGCUGGUUGUUACCAUGGUGAUGGCCAGUGUCAUGCAGAAGAUUAUACCUCACUAUUCUCUUGCUCGAUGGCUACUCUGUAAUGGCAGUUUGAGGUGGUAUCAACAUCCUACAGAAGAAGAAUUAAGAAUUCUUGCAGGGAAACAACAAAAAGGGAAAACCAAAAAAGAUAGGUAA